AGGCUGUUAGGAAGGCAGUUAGGCUGCAGUGAAUUCUACAAAGAGGCUAUGGGAAAGAAACCUGGAAAGGUAGGGAGGUAUGGAUAUGGACAAGCUAUGCCAAGGAGCAGGGCUUUGUCAUGGAGAGUGACUAGGUGCUUUUACAUAGGAAAGUCACCUGAUAAUAUUAAAACCUGUGAAAUAUCACUCUGGUGGAAGUGUGAAUGAAUUUGAAAGGGGUGUAACACUGUUCUACUUUGUUUACUCCUCAGUACCCUUGGCUGUGUACAUUUGAGUAAAGAGAGCACUAUAAAAUCAAAAACCAAUGAAAUGGUUUCCAGAACACAGAACUAUUAAGCUUAAGAAAAGGACAGAAGGAACUGAAGAGAGAGGAACUGUUUUGGAGCAUCACACUUCCACCUCAGAAGAAAUAAGGAAGGAAGGAGGAGGGUGUUCCCACGGCUCUUCAACCAGGCCGGCUCUUCAGCCUACAUCCCCAUCUCAUCAAGUAAAAGGGAUUUUUCAACUGGACCAACCAGAUGGUUUAACAGUGCACUCCCACACCAUUCAACUACGCAAGGGAGAUACACUUAACAUAUGCAGUCGUAUAACACCUACUAACAUUUUCAAACAUUAAACCUUUAAAAAAGAGUUCUAAAGAAAUAGAAGCUUGAAGUAUCAUCUCUCAAGUAUAUAGACACUACUUCAUGGUGUGGUAAUAUAUGCAUAUAGAAGCUAGUAAACACCUCCAGGAGAUGCAAAAGGAAUUAGAACUGCCACAAGGUGCAAGCAAAACCUUGAGCUUCUUUAAAAUAUGAAGACUUCGAAGUUAUUUAUCCAAACCAACCUGAUCAUUUCUUAAGAGUGAAUAUACCUUGGAAGACGUGUCCUGCCUUUAGUAGCGUCACAAUGGAUUACAUCCUCUAUAAAGCAGUCUGGGGUGAGAAAAUCGAAUUUGGACACCGUUGAGGAGACUAUUGCAGUCAUCCAAGCUCAAGAUGGUGGAGCUUCAUCCUUGAGAAUAACCAAUGGGGAUAGAUUUAAGAGACACUUAGAGUCUGCAGCCAACAGGGCUGAAUGAGCAGAGAGUUAUGAUUCAGAAGAUCAUCUAAAAUUGAACAGCUGCCACUACUGGCAAUAAGUCUACUGCCAUUUGGUAGAUAACCUUCUUAUCACACAGAAAAAUAUCAGUACAGACAAAUAGACCGCAAAGAAAAUGAGACCAUCAGCAAAGAAGAUAAAGAAGUUUGUACAAAGCAACUUUUUAUAAAUGGAUGGCUGUCAGGCAAAAAUAAAUUUCCUGUGGACAAGACCAAGAGCAAGGCAAGAGGAAAAUAAACAUGUUUAAACUAUU
rnacentral:lncRNA from 1 species